rnacentral:misc_RNA from 1 species
GAAGUGCGACAAGUGUCAUGACUUGCAGAUUCCGGAGAGCUGACAAAUUUCUGAAUGCAAAUGGCGGCCGUGUCAAACCGGCCAUGUGUUGCAGAGUGUAGUUGUUCCUACUCAUCAUCCCCUCUCCUCUCAAUCAAUUCGCGUUUUCGAGCGCGAAGAGAGAGGAGAUCGAUUGGGAUCUGCGCUUGCGAUAACACGCGAGCGUGAAAUCACGAGCGUCCUUCUCUCCUUUCUCGCAAGAGGAAGAAGAGAAGGCGACUUCGAUCGAAUUCAUGCAUGUUUCAUUACGUGCGUGAAGGAGUAUAUGAAGUUCCGAAGAACGCUCAAAACAACUUUAAGCAGCCACCUCUGCGAUGCAGGAGAACCCGCUGAACUUAA